rnacentral:rRNA from 1 species
AUACGGAGGGUGCAAGCGUUGUUCGGAAUCACUGGGCGUAAAGGGCGCGCAGGCGGUUUGGUAAGUCAGAUGUGAAAGCCCAUGGCUCAACCAUGGAAGUGCAUUCGAAACUGUCAGACUUGAGUACUAGAGGGGAAAGUGGAAUUCCCGGUGUAGAGGUGAAAUUCGUAGAUAUCGGGAGGAAUACCGGUGGCGAAGGCGACUUUCUGGCUAGAUACUGACGCUGAGGCGCGAAAGCGUGGGGAGCAAACAGGAUUAGAAACCCUUGUAGUCC